AGUAGUUUGAUCAGUGGCUACAGAACGACGCUGGCGGCAGGCUUAACACAUGCAAGUCGAACGCCCCGCAAGGAGAGUGGCAGACGGGUGAGUAACGCGUGGGAAUCUACCCAGUUCUACGGAACAACUGAGGGAAACUUCAGCUAAUACCGUAUACGCCCUACGGGGGAAAGAUUUAUCGGAAUUGGAUGAGCCCGCGUUGGAUUAGCUAGUUGGUGAGGUAACGGCUCACCAAGGCGACGAUCCAUAGCUGGUCUGAGAGGAUGAUCAGCCACACUGGGACUGAGACACGGCCCAGACUCCUACGGGAGGCAGCAGUGGGGAAUAUUGGACAAUGGGCGCAAGCCUGAUCCAGCCAUGCCGCGUGAGUGAUGAAGGCCUUAGGGUUGUAAAGCUCUUUCAGUGGGGACGAUAAUGACGGUACCCACAGAAGAAGCCCCGGCUAACUUCGUG
rnacentral:rRNA from 1 species